rnacentral:tRNA from 1 species
GGAGAGAUGCCGGAGUGGUUGAACGGGGCGGUCUCGAAAACCGUUGUGCACUUAUGUGCACCCAGGGUUCGAAUCCCUGUCUCUCCGCUA